GGGACGCUAACGAUGAGGCUCUCGUAGGGAGUCCUGCCUGCAAGCGGGCAAGGGUGCAACCCUCCGCUACACGGUGCCAUUUGAAUUGCAUUACCUCGGUCGCAGUAUUUCCCCUGCCACUAUCGCGGUCAGGGUAUUUCCCCUGCCAGGCGCGCUCGAUCUGCUUCUUGGAGUCCUGCGGGGCAGAGAGAGAGUGGCCGCGGUGAGCGGGGGGCCGUCGCCUCUGCCUGUCGCGGGCUCGGGGCACGGCUCAGAUCUGCCUUUCCCAUAGGAGCCCUGAGCCAGCCCCGGUGACUGUCGUGACCCUGCUGCGCAGGGCUUGCUCUCGUCCAGGAGCUUGUGCCAGCUGGGCAGAGGGCAAAGGACAAGCCCCCUUGCUGCCUAUGGGUCCCUGGACCGAAGCCCAGCACUGCUGCUUCAUAAAGGCACCGGACCAGCAGCCCAGCUCUGCCAUGGAUGCCUCCCAUUGUGGGCAUGUCACUUAAUGGCUGUGUGCCUCAGUUUCCCACUCUAUAAAAUGGGCAUCAGUCUUU